AAUCGAUAGAAUCUGACACAACUUAUACCCAAUAUCUUAAUUCCUUCAUAACUUGUCUCGAUCGAGAUAAAAGUUCAAUUUUCAAAAAUAAAAUAUUACGAAACUUAUCUUUGAGUGAAGCAAAUUUAAAUAGGUUUAAUUAAAUAAAGAGCAAAGGAAACACAACAAUGUGGGGGAUAAAUUAAAGAGGGUCAAUCCGUGCAAAAACUUGUUAAUUUGGGCGGCUCGGCUACUAAUCUAAUCCAUAGUAAGGCCCAGCAGCUAAUAACAACUACCCACCUUCUCUCACUAAAAUUUUAGCAAAUUUCCAUUUUAACGCGACUCCAAGCUUUCAUCCAUGGCGGCUUCAACAACUACUCUUUCCAGUUCCAUCACCACCACCUUCAAACCCUCUCCGUACCCACCACGCGCCUCCUCUAUCCACCCUCUCCCUUCCAUCAAACUCCCAUCCAAUAUCAACCCCUUCAAUAAUCCCUUAAUUUCCCAUUUUACCCCUACUCCAAAAAACCCCACC